rnacentral:rRNA from 1 species
AACCUUUACACUGCACGACAGUGCGAUAGGGGGACACCGAGUGCGAGGGCAUAGAGCCCUCGCUUUUCUGAACCUUAAGGUGGUUCAGGAACAAGGGCUGGGCAAGACCGGUGCCAGCCGCCGCGGUAACACCGGCAGCCCAAGUGAUGGCCGAUUUUAUUGGGCCUAAAGCGUCCGUAGCUGGCCGCGCAAGUUCGUCGGGAAAUCCACGCGCUUAACGUGUGGGCGUCCGGCGAAAACUGUGCGGCUUGGGACCGGAAGAUCUGAGGGGUACGUCUGGGGUAGGAGUGAAAUCCCGUAAUCCUGGACGGACCACCGAUGACGAAAGCACCUCAGAAGGACGGAUCCGACAGUGAGGGACGAAAGCUAGGGUCUCGAACCGGAUUAGAUACCCGGGUAGUCCUAGCCGUAAACGAUGCUCGCUAGGUGUGGCACAGGCUACGAGCCUGUGCUGUGCCGUAGGGAAGCCGUGAAGCGAGCCGCCUGGGAAGUACGUCUGCAAGGAUGAAACUUAA